AGGAUGAACGCUGGCGGCGUGCCUAACACAUGCAAGUCGAACGUCCUGUCUCGCAAGAGGCAGGGAGUGGCGGACGGGUGAGUACCACGUGGGUCAUCUACCGUGAGGUGAGGAAUACCGGCGAGAAAUCGCCGACAAGACCGCAUAGGCUCGAUGCAAGUCGAGCAAAGCUCUUUCGAGAGAGGGAGCGCCACACGAGGAGCCUGCGCCCGAUUAGCUAGCUGGUGGAGUAACGGUUCACCAGGGCGACGAUCGGUAGCUGGUCUGAGAGGACGAUCAGCCACACUGGGAUUGAGAACGGCCCAGACUCCUACGGGGGCAGCAGUGAGGAAUUUCGCAAUGGGGCAACCCUGAACGAGCAACGCCGCGUGCAGGAAGAGGUUUCGGAUCGUAAACUGCUUUUCUCGGGGAAGAGAACGGACGGUACCCGAGGAAUCGAGCCCCGGCUAACUACGUGCCAGCAGCCGCGGU
rnacentral:rRNA from 1 species